UGAUAAUGGACUGACCCUCUGAAACUUUGACUUCAGCCUGAAUCCAAGUUCCUACCCUGUCAGCUUGGCAGGAAAUCCCGUUUAAAUUAUUACCAAGACUGUCUCUUUCCCAGAACCUAGGGUCCACAAACCAAUCAGUCACCACCAGGGACAACACAAUGCUGUGCGCCAGGCACUGUUAGCUGAGGACUGAACCCAGGGCCUUGC